ensembl:lncRNA
CAUGAGUUGGGGCUCAACAGGGUUCAGGGCUCACAUAUGACAUAAAAAGCACAUGACUAGUGUUUGCAUGCACAGAAAACCCAGACAAUCUACUACAUUUGUCAAAUGUGCAAAAUACAACCUGAGGACACUGUGUGAGUAUGCAAGGAUAAGCAUUUCCAGAACAGCACCGUGUGUUCAUCUGCAAACUUCACAUUUUGGCAGAAUCCAUACUAAAACCUCCAAGUGCUGACUUAAAAUAAAUUAAAUUACACUGAACCUCCCAGAGUCCACCUUGAAACAAAGUCAUGUUUACAAGCUUCUGGACGGAGGCAGCGAGUGGUGUUGAGGAUGAAUUUCACCAGAUCACGGUGCAGAUUGAAGUUACAUGUUCUGUCAUGGAGGAAAACCUUUCUAUGUCUGCCUGAGGCCACACAGAUCAGCCUGAGAUUCAUGUUGAAGUUUAAUUCAUGCUCUGAAUUGAUAAACGUCCUCUCCGCUGCACACAUCUGACAAAAGCCCAUUCCUUCAUGGCAUCAUCCAUCACGAAAUCACAGGGAUCAAUCAGCAGCUGUUUGGCCGGUGACAGAUAUAUUGGAGCGGCUUUGCUGUGUACAGAGAGUCUGUUGGAGAAGGGAUCUGUGCGGAAAGCUGUAUGUUCUCUGACUGGCUCAUGCAGGAUGUUCUGGGAAAGAGAUGGAUGGCAUUUAAAUCCACCUUUACUGGAAAACAGUCCAAGAUCUGCUUCCCAGAGUCUCCAGGAUGAAUGUUCCUCGAGUGUUUAACAGUGUUUCUCUCAUCUGUCUGCGAGCAGAUGUCCUGCUUCUAGAAUCUAAUGCACCAGUUUUGCCAGAGGUUAAAGAGGUCUGGUAAACGUGUUUCACAAAUGCAGUUCGUUGUUUUUAAUCAGUUAUGUAUGUUUUAUCACACAACUUCAGUAAAAAUCACAGAGCAAAUAACGUAAUCCUAUCUGGAUAAUCUAGUCUGUGAUUAUGUACUGUAAGUGUGUAUUUAUUUAAUCAUUUAUUUAUCUAUUUAUUUAUUUUAGUCAUUUAUUUAUUUAUUCACUUUAUUUUAGAUUAAAAUGCAGCUGUUUUUGAAAAGUAGAUUUUUGUAGAUUUUUCAGAUUCAUUUAUUUAAUCAGUUUAUUUUAGUUGUUUAUUUAAUUAGUAAGUCAAGUAUUUAUUAAUCUAAUUUAUUUAUUUAGUCAGGCAUUAAUUAAUUGAUUGAUUGAUUAAGUAAUUAAUAUAGUCACAUAUUUAUUUAGUUAGCCAUUUGUCUAUUAAUCUAUGCAUUGAGUAACUCGUUCAUUAAUUUAUUUAUUUAGUAAUGUAUUUAUCUAGUAAUUUAAUCAGUCAUUCAUUUUAUUUUUGUAUUUAGUCAUGUAUUUAUUCAGUCAUUUGUUAAUUAAUCUAUUUAUUCGCUUGUAAUUUGUAAUUUAAAUUCAUUCAUUCAUUCAUUCAUUUAUUCAGUUUGCUAGGUAAAAUAUGUAUUUCAGGUGCUGAAUAAAAUAAAAUGAAAUUAAAAUGAAGAUCAUAUGCUGCUGUUAGCCCUUCUGAUCAUCUAUAAAUACUCCAUAUUUAUUCCUUUCCUAAAAUAUUGUAAUUAUAUCAUCCACCUAAAGUGCAUUAAUAAUUAUAAAUCGAAGUUAUAAUUGUUUUUUUUUGUUAUUAUGUUUCUUUGGUGUUUUCUUCUGUUAGACAGACAUUUGCGUUCUCUCUCUGUCUCUUCUGUGAUCUGAUCUGAUGCUUCAAACCCACUAAUUGAGAACAUCAAGGAAGUAUCAUCUUUCAAGAACAAGACGAGCAUAAAAUAAAUCACAC